CCGAUAUAGAAAGGUGGCCGCUAUUGCCAGUUUUUGUAGUCUACAUAUAAUUGGUUUGGGAAAUUUUUAAACUGGCCCUUAGGACAGGUGACCGAUAUAUAUAUUUUAAAUAUA
rnacentral:lncRNA from 1 species